UGACCCGUAAAUUAAAGACCUGUCCCCUGACAUUGGGGUUCCAUAACAGGCCGGUAUAUACCUAAGGUCGGCAGAGACGGUGACGGGAUCCAACCUACAUUACUUUUCCCAGUCUACAAGACAGUAAUGAUGGUGUGUUUGAUGUGGCCCUCCGUGUGGCUAUCCAGGCUUAUAGUAGUGGGAGGGUGACCUGGUCUCCCCCUGCCCUCUUCUGCAGCUCCUGUGGGGUCAAGGUGGCGUACUUCCCGUUGACCGGCAGAACUGCACCAUGGUGUUCUAGUCCUACACCUACAUCAGAGGUGGACCUGCAGUACGGCCUGGAUAACCAGGGCAAUGAGAUCAAAUAGAUACAAUAUGAUGAGGGCUUCAGUGAUGAAGAUAUGAGAAGACACACACACACAUAUCCUGAACGAGAAGGGGAUUGAGUAGGGGUGUGCCGACAUGGACAUCCUCGUAUUCGUAAUUGUUUCCGUAAGUUGACAGUUGGCCGUUGGA